rnacentral:rRNA from 1 species
GCGUUGUUGGGUAGGGGAGCGUUCUGUAAGCCGUUGAAGGUGGCCUGUGAGGGUUGCUGGAGGUAUCAGAAGUGCGAAUGCUGACAUAAGUAACGAUAAAGCGGGUGAAAAGCCCGCUCGCCGGAAGACCAAGGGUUCCUGUCCAACGUUAAUCGGGGCAGGGUGAGUCGACCCCUAAGGCGAGGCUGAAAAGCGUAGUCGAUGGGAAACAGGUUAAUAUUCCUGUACUUGGUGUUACUGCGAAGGGGGGACGGAGAAGGCUAGGCUAGCCGGGCGACGGUUGUCCCGGUUUAAGCGUGUAGGGGGUGUGACCUGGUAAAUCCGGUUGCAUACUAACCCUGAGGCGUGAUGACGAUGCACUACGGUGCAGAAGUAGUUGAUGCCCUGCUUCCAGGAAAAUCCUCUAAGCUCCAGGUAACAUUAAAUCGUACCCCAAACCGACACAGGUGGUCAGGUAGAGAAUACCAAGGCGCUUGAGAGAACUCGGGUGAAGGAACUAGGCAAAAUGGUGCCGUAACUUCGGGAGAAGGCACGCUGGCAUGUAGGUGAAGUCCCUUGCGGAUGGAGCUGAAGCCAGUCGAAGAUACCAGCUGGCUGCAACUGUUUAAUAAAAACACAGCACUGUGCAAACACGAAAGUGGACGUAUACGGUGUGACGCCUGCCCGGUGCUGGAAGGUUAAUUGAUGGGGUCAGCCGCAAGGCGAAGCUCUUGAUCGAAGCCCCAGUAAACGGCGGCCGUAACUAUAACGGUCCUAAGGUAGCGAAAUUCCUUGUCGGGUAAGUUCCGACCUGCACGAAUGGCGUAAUGAUGGCCAGGCUGUCUCCACCCGAGACUCAGUGAAAUUGAACUCGCUGUGAAGAUGCAGUGUACCCGCGGCAAGACGGAAAGACCCCGUGAACCUUUACUAUAGCUUGACACUGAACAUUGAGCCUUGAUGUGUAGGAUAGGUGGGAGGCUUUGAAGCGUGGACGCCAGUCUGCGUGGAGCCAUCCUUGAAAUACCACCCUUUAAUGUUUGAUGUUCUAACUCGGCCCCAUAAUCUGGGGUGAGGACAGUGUCUGGUGGGUAGUUUGACUGGGGCGGUCUCCUCCCAAAGAGUAACGGAGGAGCACGAAGGUUAGCUAAUCACGGUCGGACAUCGUGAGGUUAGUGCAAAGGCAUAAGCUAGCUUGACUGCGAGAGUGACGGCUCGAGCAGGUACGAAAGUAGGUCUUAGUGAUCCGGUGGUUCUGAAUGGAAGGGCCAUCGCUCAACGGAUAAAAGGUACUCCGGGGAUAACAGGCUGAUACCGCCCAAGAGUUCAUAUCGACGGCGGUGUUUGGCACCUCGAUGUCGGCUCAUCACAUCCUGGGGCUGAAGUAGGUCCCAAGGGUAUGGCUGUUCGCCAUUUAAAGUGGUACGCGAGCUGGGUUUAGAACGUCGUGAGACAGUUCGGUCCCUAUCUGCCGUGGGCGUUGGAAGAUUGAGAGGGGUUGCUCCUAGUACGAGAGGACCGGAGUGAACGCACCACUGGUGUUCGGGUUGUCAUGCCAAUGGCAUUGCCCGGUAGCUAAGUGCGGAAAAGAUAAGCGCUGAAAGCAUCUAAGCGCGAAACUUGCCUCAAGAUGAGUCUUCCCUGGG